AUUGAACGCUGGCGGCAGGCCUAACACAUGCGAGUCGAGCGGAUGAAGGGAGCUUGCUCCUGGAUUCAGCGGCGGACGGGUGAGUAAUGCCUAGGAAUCUGCCUGGUAGUGGGGGAUAACGUCCGGAAACGGGCGCUAAUACCGCAUACGUCCUGAGGGAGAAAGUGGGGGAUCUUCGGACCUCACGCUAUCAGAUGAGCCUAGGUCGGAUUAGCUAGUUGGUGGGGUAAAGGCCUACCAAGGCGACGAUCCGUAACUGGUCUGAGAGGAUGAUCAGUCACACGGGAACUGAGACACGGUCCAGACUCCGACGGGAGGCAGCAGGGGGGAAUUUGGGACAAUGGGGGAAAGCCUGAUCCAGCCAUGCCGGGUGGGUGAAGAAGGUCUUCGGAUUGUAAAGCACUUUAAGUGGGGAGGAAGGGCAGUAAGUUAAUACCUUGCUGUUUUGACGUUACCAACAGAAGAAGCACCGGCUAACUUCGU
rnacentral:rRNA from 1 species